GACGACCCUUCUAAGAUAAGGGGGGAAAUCCUCAGUAGUUGUGACACUUUGACUCUUCCACUGACUUAUAUAUGUACUGAAUGCUCAUACGGGAAAGUGAACUCCUGGGCCUGGGGUGUUUGCUCCAAAAAAAUCCUUUCUUUCUCGUCCACUCUAGGGGGUGCGGACACACUUGUGCGGAUUACAGGCAACAGUUGCAAGAAUGGUGGGGAAGAGAAGAGUACACGAUGACAUUCAGGGAUGAAUGUAGACCCAUCGGGUGGGGAUAAUCAUUCCGGUCUUGGGGGAGGUGGCGACACCAGUCUGAGCUGA
rnacentral:rRNA from 1 species